rnacentral:rRNA from 1 species
UUCUUACUGAAAAUUUAAUUGUAAGUACCUCCUGCUCCAUGAAUUUUUAAAUAGCCGCGGAAAUUUAACCGUGCUAAGGUAGCAUAAUCAUUAGCCUCUUAAUUAGAGGCCCGUAUGAAUGGAGAAACAUUUCAAUUUCUUUAUUAAUUAAUUUUCUUUAAAUUUAAACCAGGAAUAAAAAUGUUCUUAUAUUUAAAAAAGACGAUAAGACCCUUUUGAACUUUACUGAAGUUUAGCUGGGGCAGCUAUAAAAAAAUUAUCUUUUAUUAUUAUUUUCAAUAAAUGACCCAAUCAAAUUGAUUUUAUGAAAAAGUUACCAUAGGGAUAACAGCGUAAUAUUUUUUAAAAGUUCUUAUUAAAAAAAGUGAUUGCGACCUCGAUGUUGAAUUAGUAUAUCUUUAUUAAUGCAGUAAUUAUAAAAGUGAGUCUGUUCGACUUUAAAAAUACUACAU